CAAUAGCAUAUAUUAAAGUUGUUGCAGUUAAAAAGCUCGUAGUUGGAUUUCUGAAGGAUUGACAAUGUCCACUGUUGUGAGUACUGCGCCGAUCUUUCAUCCUUCUGUUAACGUUUCUUGGUAUUCAGUUACUGGUUUCGGGCUCAGAUAUUUUACUUUGAGAAAAUUAGAGUGUUUCAGGCAGGCUUGGCCGGAAUACAUUAGCAUGGAAUAAUGGAAUAGGACUUUGGCUCUAUUUGGUGGUUUAGGGCACAAAGUAAUGAUUAAUAGGGACAGUUGGGGGCAUUAGUAUUUAAUUGUCAGAGGUGAAAUUCUUGGAUUUGUUAAAGACUAACCUAUGCGAAAGCAUUUGCCAAGGAUGCUUUCAUUAA
rnacentral:rRNA from 1 species